rnacentral:rRNA from 1 species
UGAUUGCGACUUCGGUUAAGAGAGGGAGUGGAAAGCGGCGGACGGGUGAGUAACGCGUAGGCAACCUGCCCCAUACACAGGGAUAGCCUCGGGAAACCGGGAUUAAAACCUGAUGAUACGAGGAGAGCGCAUGUUCUCUUUGUCAAAGAUUCAUCGGUAUGGGAUGGGCCUGCGUCUGAUUAGCUAGUUGGUGGGGUAACGGCUCACCAAGGCGACGAUCAGUAGCCGACCUGAGAGGGUAAACGGCCACAUUGGGACUGAGACACGGCCCAAACUCC